GCUGGGUGUGGUGGCAGGUACCUGUAAUCCCAGCUACUUGGGAGGCUGAGGCAGGAGAAUCACUUGAACCCAGGAGAUGGAGGUUGCAGUGAGCCAAGAUCAUGCCACUGCAUUCCAGCCUGGGUGACAGAGUGAGAUUCUGUCUCAA
rnacentral:SRP_RNA from 1 species